UCUUCUUGUAUUUUAAUAUUCAUUAGCUUCUAUUAUUGGACAGUAACAGCUCCGUCCUUGACACCAAGAUGAACGCAGCUGAUUUAUGAGCAACACUAGAGAUCGCCAGAGAGCCACGUUCCACGCGUAGCUCCGGGCGAACGUGAAUCGUGAGUAAAUGCUCCUUAUCGGCUGUGUGGGGCUAUUGGCUGAAAUGGCAUCAUGAUGAUAAUGAAAGCGCAUCGGCUGCUUACAAUAAUGACUCCAAUGAAACCGUUAAACGGGCUCAGCACGUGAGCAACAGAAUAAAUCUGAAGCACGACUUGGGCAGGUUGUGCGUAAAAGGCAUCCUUUUCACAAAUCCUCACAACGAAUCGCCCAUCACUGUCUCUGUUCCGAAACCAAUGGCAGGAUAAGAGGGGAAUGCAGGUCUGACAACAAGAAUUCGUGUCGUUCAGUUUUGAACUGUGCUUUUCACCCGCUGUUUCCAGUUGGGACUGUGACGAGGCUCAGAUUUUGCGCUUCCCUGUUGGUGCUUAAAUGAGCAAGAAUCGGCUGUAUUAAAAAAAAAAAAGAAGAAAAGAACUACACACACACACACACACACGAAAGCCUCAGUUUAUUUCGGUUUACGUAAAUGUCAGGAUGGGCCCCUGAUUGAGGAGCUCCAAGUGAAGUCCGGUUGUGCCGUGAUGAAGACCUUUGAUAAAAACGGCCAGCAUCCGAGGGCGUGCGGAUUCCUCGCCUCCUCUCCGAGUAGACGACCUCCUACUGACUUACUUCACGUCACCCCACCCGUCUGCCUGGCGUCUCCUCCUUUAAACCCUCUGCUCCGACCAGUCCUUUGAGCGAAUCCGGGCUCAGACGAUAAACGUACUCGGAGAGAAAGCGGACAGAGCCACAACACAGACUCCAAACCUCACCUAGACUACCUGCUCCAACUGGAGGGGGAAGAGAGAGGCGGUAGAGGAGGACGCACAGCGCACAAGUGCAGGCGCGUCCCUGUGUGCCAGUUGAACAACGCAUCAGGCGGGCAAAGAGAGCAGAAAUAAAUUGGAAUAAGAGUUCACGUCGACAACUCUAUUGGAGAAGCGUACAGCUUAGUUAGAAGGCAGCCUAAAUGAGUACAUGGUAAGAAGAGUCAUGCAUCUCAACCAAGAGGACAGCAGCAAAGGCUCAGUGUCAUUC